rnacentral:rRNA from 1 species
UCAGGACGAACGCUGGCGGCGUGCCUAACACAUGCAAGUCGAGCGAGGAGAUCCUCGGGAUGAUCCUAGCGGCGGACGGGUGAGUAACACGUGGGCAACCUGCCUCAUAGAGAGGAAUAGCCUUCCGAAAGGGAGAUUAAUACCUCAUAACAUUGCAGUUUCGCAUGGAACAGCAAUUAAAGGAGCAAUCCACUAUGAGAUGGGCCCGCGGCGCAUUAGCUAGUUGGUGAGGUAACGGCUCACCAAGGCGACGAUGCGUAGCCGACCUGAGAGGGUGAUCGGCCACAUUGGGACUGAGACACGGCCCAGACUCCUACGGGAGGCAGCAGUGGGGAAUAUUGCACAAUGGGGGAAACCCUGAUGCCAGCAACGCCGCGUGAGUGAUGACGGCCUUCGGGUUGUAAAGCUCUGUCUUCAGGGACGAUAAUGACGGUACCUGAGGAGGAAGCCACGGCUAACCACGUGCCAGCCGCCGC